rnacentral:tRNA from 3 species
UCCUAAUAUGGGUUGCUAACUCAAUGGUAGAGUACUCGGCUUUUAACCGACGAGUUCCGGGUUCGAGUCCCGGGCAACCCA